CCGAUGAUCAGCAGGAAUGCGAGUGAUGGAUGCCUAGGCGCACACGACCGAAGAAGGACGGGGACUCCCGCCGAAACGGGUAGGCGAGCCGGAGUCAGGCUGCGACCCUACCAUCUCCGAAUGGGGCAACCCCACCACCGUGAUGGGUGGUGAUCCGUAUCUGAAUCUAUAGGAUACGGAAGGGCACCGGGGGAACUGAAACAUCUCACGUACCCCGAGGAACAGAAACAAUUCUCGUAGUAGCGGCGAGCGAACCGGGAAGAGCCUAAACGGCGCACGUGUCAAGCAGGACAGCGUUGCGUGUGCCGGGUUGCGAGACCUCCAGAUUGGCAUGUCCUUGCCAGUAGCAAGUUACAAACGCGAGCUUUAGGGGAAUGGCCCUGGAACGGCCAACCAGAGCGGGUGAGAGUCCCGUACCCGGAAAGGCGAGCACUUGCGUGAGGGAUCUCAAGUACGACGGGACACGCGAAAUCCCGUCGGAAGCAGGGGUGACCACACUCCAAGGCAGAAUAUCGUGGGCGACCGAUAGCGCAGAGUACCGUGAGGGAACGGUGAAAAGCACCCUGGCGAAGGGAGUGAAACAGAUCCUGAAAUUGCUCGCAGACAAACCGUGGGAGGCGUAAGCUAACCGCGUGCCUUUUGGAGUAUGAACCGACGAGUUACCCUGUGUGGCAGGUUAAGGCAGCAACAGCCGGAGCCAGAGCGACAGCGAGUCUGAAUAGGGCGAUGGUCGCACAGGGUAGACCCGAAACCAGGUGAGCAACCCAUGGUCAGACUGAAGCGACCGUAACAGGUCGUGGAAGGUCGAACUAGUGUCCGUUACAAAGGGCUUGGAUGAACUGUGGGUAGCGGAGAAAUUCCAAUCGAACCUGGAGAUAGCUGGUUCUCCCCGAAAUGUAUUGAGGUACAGCCGUGGAACGGGGCUGCUGGGGGUAAAGCGCUGUUGGCGUGCGGGGGGCGCGAGCCUUACCAAGCGCUGGCAAACUGGGAAUACCAGCAGCCUACACCACGAGUGAGACGGUGGGUGCGAACAUUCAUCGUCAAGAGGGCAACAACCCAGACCCGCCGCUAAGGUCCCGAAGUAUCGGCUCAGUGGGCAAGGGCGUGAUCGGACGGAGACAACCAGGAGGUUGGCUUAGAAGCAGCCACCCUUGAAAGAGUGCGUAACAGCUCACUGGUUUAGUCCGGUUGCAUCGACAAUCCACCGGGGCUAAGUCGAUCACCGAAGCGCGGGAUUAUCCUUUGUGGAUAAUGGUAGGGGAGCGUUGUGGGGGCAUCGAAGCGGGCGCGGAAGCGCAACCCGUGGAGCGACCACAAGUGCGAAUGUCGGUAUGAGUAACGAUACGAGGGGUGAGAACCCCCUCCACCGAAAGUCUAAGGGUUCCGCCGCACGGGCACUCCGCGGCGGGGAAGUCGGGCCUAAGGCGAGGGCGCGAGCCGUAGCUGAUGGACACGCCGUUGAUAAUCGGCGACCACACCCAGAACGUUUGAACGUGACUGAGAUGCUGAUGGGGAAUCCGAGCGACGAGACGAGCGUCGUUCACGCUGGUAGGGAGAAUGAUGUGGCAAAUCCCAUCGUUCGUUGACCGAGAAGCAAGUACGAGCGAAUUCUUUCGGGAAUUGGCGAGUCGGAUGGACCUAGGCAGCCGCGAAAGGCUUGGGCACGGAGGACUGGGUGUGCCCGUACCGCACACCGACACAGGUAGACAGGUCGAGGAGACCAAGGUGGACGAGCGAAUCCCGGUUAAGGAACUCGGCACGAAUGACCCCGUAACUUCGGGAAAAGGGGUGCUCGCUUUGGUGAAGCCCAUACGGGUGGAGGCUGAGGCGAGUCGCAGCAAAGAGGCCCAGGCGACUGUUUAACAAAAACACAGGUCGGUGCGAACGCGAAACAGCGGACGUAUACCGGCUGACACCUGCCCAGUGCUGGAAGGUUAAGGGGAGAUGUGCAAGCGUUGAACCGAAGCCCCAGUAAACGGCGGCCGUAACUAUAACGGUCCUAAGGUAGCGAAAUUCCUUGUCGGGUAAGUUCCGACCCGCACGAAAGGUAGAACGAUCUGGGCGCUGUCUCAACCGGGAGCUCGGUGAAAUUGCAAGGGCCGUGAAGAUGCGGCCUACUCGCAGCAGGACAAAAAGACCCCGUGGAGCUUGACUACAGCUUGCCAUCGGCGCGUGUGUGGCGCUGCGUAGGAUAGGUGGGAGCCAGCGAAGCCGGACUUGCGGGUCUGGUGGAGGCGACGGUGAAAUACCACUCUGCGACAGAUAUGCGCCUCACCCUUGGCCAUGAAGCUGGCAAGGGGACGGUGGCUGGUGGGUAGUUUGACUGGGGCGGUCGCCUCCCAAAAAGUAACGGAGGCGCGCAAAGGUAGGUUCAGGCCGGAUGGCAACCGGCUGGGGCGUGCAAGCGCAGAAACCUGCUUGACUGCAAGGCAAACAGGCCGCGCAGGGACGAAAGUCGGCGCUAGUGAUCCCACGUGCCUGAGUGGAAAGGCCGUGGCGUAACGGAUAAAAGCUACCCCGGGGAUAACAGGCUGAUCCCGCCCAAGAGUUCACAUCGACGGCGGGGUUUGGCACCUCGAUGUCGGCUCGUCGCAUCCUGGGGCUGGAGUCGGUCCCAAGGGUUGGGCUGUUCGCCCAUGAAAGCGGCACGCGAGCUGGGUUCAGAACGUCGUGAGACAGUUCGGUCUCUAUCCGCUGUGAGCGAAGGAUGAUUGCGUGGGGCUGGCCCUAGUACGAGAGGACCGGGCUGGACAGACCGCUGGUGGACGAGUUGUGGGACGACCCGCAAGGCUCGGUAGCUACGUCUGGGACGGAGAACCGCUGACAGCAUCUAAGUGGGAAACCGGCCACAAGAUCAGUCAUCCAUGUGCAGAAAUGUAUGAGAGGCACCGUCGAGACGAGACGGACAACUGGGUUGCUGUGGAGGCCGUGUGAACGGUAGAGCAGACAACAACAGACAGCCGAGCGAUCAUCGGUU
rfam:Herpetosiphon aurantiacus DSM 785, complete genome.